rnacentral:rRNA from 1 species
CUACGGGAUGCUGCAGUGAGGAAUAUUGCACAAUGGGGGGAACCCUGAUGCAGCAACGCCGCGUGGAGGAUGACGCAUUUCGGUGUGUAAACUCCUUUUAUAUGUCAAGAAAAUGACGGUAGCAUAUGAAUAAGCACCGGCUAACUCCGUGCCAGCAGCCGCGGUAAUACGGAGGGUGCAAGCGUUACUCGGAAUCACUGGGCGUAAAGGAUGCGUAGGCGGGUUGGAAAGUCAGGUGGGAAAUCCUACAGCUUAACUGUAGAACUGCACUUGAAACUUCUAAUCUAGAGUAUGGGAGGGGGAGAUGGAAUUAGUGGUGUAGGGGUAAAAUCCGUAGAUAUCACUAGGAAUACCUAAAGCGAAGGCGAUCUCCUGGAACAUUACUGACGCUAAGGCGUGAAAGCGUGGGGAGCAAACAGGAUUAGAUACCCCAGUAGUC